rnacentral:lncRNA from 1 species
UAGGUCAUGAGGGGAAAAAGUUAUGAGAUGGAGAUGGGCCUAUAGAGACUAUACGAGGUGGAUAGAGAUGUGAGGAAGAACGGGAGGUACCUGGUGGAGCGAGAGGGCUCGUAGUAAGGUAUGGAUACAAGGAGUGGGGAAACAUGAGAUGUUUCGGGAACCCAAUAGUUGUAUCUGGUUUUAUCCUCUGUAAUAUUCUCUAUUGUAUAGUGAAAUUAUUCUCUCUCAUCCGUGGACGUAGGCAUGGUUGGCCGAACCACGUUAAAACCUCGUGUACCGUAUGUGUGAUUGUGUUUAUCUUUGUGUUCUUGAACUAACAUUGUUGGCAUCAAAGCUUUCGCUGGCACUACAAUUGCUUGUUAGGAAGUGUCCCAAAUUCCUAAUUAGUAUAGAUUCUUUUUUGUGUAAAGAAUAUUAUAUAGAAUAUUUAUAGAUUGAUAUAUUAUUGUAAUAUUAGACUUCCUUAUAGAAUAAGGAAGGUUGUUGGAAAUAUCUCUAUAAAUAUUCUAGGUCAUGAGGGGAAAAAGUUAUGAGAUGGAGAUGGGUCUAUAGAGACUAUACGAGGUGGAUAGAGAUGUGAGGAAGAACGGGAGGUACCUAGUGGAGCGAGAGGGCUCGUAGUAAGGUAUGGAUACAAGGAGUGGGGAAACAUGGGAUGUUUCGGGAACCCAAUAGUUGUAUCUGGUUCUAUCCUCUGUAAUAUUUUCUAUUGUAUAGUGGAAUUAUUCUCUCUCAUCCGUGGACGUAGGCAUGGUUAGCCGAACCACGUUAAAACCUCGUAUGUGUGAUUGUGUUUAUCUUUGUGUUCUUGAACUAACAUUGUUGGCAU